rnacentral:rRNA from 1 species
GACGAACGCUGGCGGCGUGCCUAACACAUGCAAGUCGAGCGGAGUCGAUCGACGGAAGCCUUCGGGCGGAAGAUGGUUGACUUAGCGGCGGAUGGGUGAGUAACGCGUGGGCAACCUGCCUCGAAGACCGGGAUAACAGCCCGAAAGGGCUGCUAAUACCGGAUGUGGUCAAGGAUCCGCAUGGAUUUUUGAUUAAAGGGGAAACCCGUUUCGAGAUGGGCCCGCGUCCUAUCAGCUAGUUGGUGAGGUAAAAGCGUCACCAAGGCGACGACGGGUAGCCGGCCUGAGAGGGUGACCGGCCACACUGGAACUGAGACACGGUCCAGGACUCCUACGGGGGGCAGCAGUGGGGAAUCGUUCCACAAUGGGCGAAAGCCUGAUGGAGCGACGCCGCGUGAGCGAAGAAGGCCUUCGGGUUGUAAAGCUCUGUCUGGAGGGACGAAGGAAGUGACGGUACCUCCGGAGGAAGCCACGGCAACUACGUGCCAGCAGCCGCGGUAAUUCACGUGUA